ACGUGGACAAUCUAACCUAAGGUGGGGAAUAAUCCCGGGAAACUGGGGCUAAUACCCCAUAGAUUAUGAAUGCUGGAAUGCUUCGUAGUUCAAAGGUCAGCCGCCUUAGGGUGGGUCUGCGGCCGAUUAGGUAGUUGUUGGGGUAACGGCCCAACAAGCCUGUAAUCGGUACGGGUUGUGGGAGCAAGAGCCCGGAGAUGGAUUCUGAGACACGAAUCCAGGCCCUACGGGGCGCAGCAGGCGCGAAAACUUUACAAUGCGGGAAACCGUGAUAAGGGAACUCCGAGUGCCCGUUAAAUCGGGCUGUCCACCAGUUUAAAAAACUGGUGAAGAAAGGGCCGGGCAAGAUCGGUGCCAGCCGCCGCGGUAAUACCGGCGGCUCGAGUGGUGGCCACUAUUACUGGGCUUAAAGCGUUCGUAGCUGGUUUGUUAAGUCUCUGGGGAAAUCUUCCGGCUUAACCGGAAGGCGUCUCAGGGAUACUGGCAGACUAGGGACCGGAAGAGGUGAGGGGUACUCCAGGGGUAGGAGUGAAAUCCUGUAAUCCCUGUGGGACCACCUGUGGCGAAGGCGUCUUACCAGAACGGGUUCGACGGUGAGGGACGAAAGCUGGGGGCACGAACCGGAUUAGAUACCCGGGUAGUCCCAGCCGUAAACGAUGCUCGCUAGGUGUCAGGCAUGGCGCGACCGUGUCUGGUGCCGCAGGGAAGCCGUGAAGCGAGCCACCUGGAAGUACGC
rnacentral:rRNA from 1 species